rfam:Oryza glaberrima chromosome 2 Oglab02_0322_7, whole genome shotgun sequence.
AAAAAGACAAACCUGAUUUCCGUGUCCAAUAUUUAACCGUCCGUCUUAUUUGAAUAUAAAAAAAAUUAAUAAGACAAGUCACACAUAAAAUAUUAAUCAUAUUUUAUCAUCUAACAAUAAUGAAUAAUAUGAAUUAUAAAAAAUUUCAUAUAAGACAGAUAGUCAAAAUUGGACACGAAAACCCAUAGCUUGCUUUUUU